rnacentral:rRNA from 1 species
AACGAACGCUGGCGGCAGGCCUAACACAUGCAAGUCGAGCGCGCCCUUCGGGGUGAGCGGCGGACGGGUGAGUAACGCGUGGGAACGUGCCCUUUUCUACGGAAUAGCCUCGGGAAACUGAGAGUAAUACCGUAUACGCCCUUUGGGGGAAAGAUUUAUCGGAAAAGGAUCGGCCCGCGUUGGAUUAGGUAGUUGGUGGGGUAAUGGCCUACCACGCCGACGAUCCAUAGCUGGUUUGAGAGGAUGAGCAGCCACACUGGGACUGAGACACGGCCCAGACUCCUACGGGAGGCAGCAGUGGGGAAUCUUAGACAAUGGGGGCAACCCUGAUCGAGCCAGGCCGCGUGAGUGAUGAAGGCCUUAGGGUUGUAAAGCUCUUUCAGCUGGGAAGAUAAUGACGGUACCAGCAGAAGAAGCCCCGGCUAACUCCGUG